UGUCUUUAUCCAGGUGAACUCGCAGUGUG
rnacentral:sRNA from 1 species